UACAGAGGGGGCAAGCGUUGUUCGGAAUUACUGGGCGUAAAGGGCGCGUAGGCGGCCUGCUAAGUCGAACGUGAAAUCCCUGGGCUCAACCCGGGAACUGCGUCCGAUACUGGCAGGCUUGAAUCCGGGAGAGGGAUGCGGAAUUCCAGGUGUAGCGGUGAAAUGCGUAGAUAUCUGGAGGAACACCGGUGGCGAAGGCGGCAUCCUGGACCGGUAUUGACGCUGAUGCGCGAAAGCCAGGGGAGCAAACGGG
rnacentral:rRNA from 1 species